UUCUAAGUGUAGUUUAUACCAGAAAGCGGUCUAUUAUCCAAAUCCUUUUCAAAAUCUAAAUAUCAGUUCUUUUUCACUUUAAAAUCUGCAUUGGCCCCCAAAAACCCAUAUCAGUCGGGCUCUAGUGUAAACAUCCAGAUCAAAUAAACAAUACGUGUUGUUUUUGUGUCUUUAGGAUGCAGAAGAGGUCUCGAACUCUGGCCAAAACCUGGACCAAGAUGAUAUGGGCACCCAUUUUAAGCUCUUUCUAGGCUUGUUGUAUAUUUCAUAAUGGCAUAUUGCAUCUUUGGCCAACAAAUGGGGUGUUCUGGUAUUUUGAAGGAUGUACAGGAGGUCCAUACUUCACAAAACUGCCUGGAGAGACCUAAUACAAUGGCGAGGGAUGAUUUACAUGAGUGGCGUGCACUUCACAAGACAAGAUGAGGAAUACAUACAAAGUCUGCAAACUGAGCAGGAAAGGGACACUCUGGUUCCUGAAGAGACCCCUCCUCAAAACAUCUCAUCUGGGUCCUCUGAUACCACUGCUGGCUUCCUGGAUUUGAGUCAUGUCAAAGAAACUACCGAACCAGAUCUGAAAACCUUACUGACAACUCUGGCAUCAAAAGUCUGGAUUGGAGAGACGCCCAGCAGUAAUAUGAUCAAUGUAUGCAGAGAAAACAUAAUGGAUGGUGCCAUGCGAGCCUUUACAAGAAGGAGUUUCAAUCCAGAGGCCAAAUUAAGCGUCAUAUUUAUGGAUGACUUCAUGCAAGCAGAAGGUUCAGUGGAUGAGGGGGGCCCUACACGGGGGUUUUUCCGACUGCUCUCAGAGAUAGCAGCCUAUUUACAGGGCCACAGUAAGAACCUGUCCCUGGACAGCCACGCAUUACACAGAGGUCUCUACAGAACCUAUGGAGUUAUGAUGGCUGUGGCGCUGCUGCAUGGAGGAGUGUUGCCUUUUUUCCGGAGAGGCUCUACCAAAACCUCUGCUCUACACCCACAUUACCACCCGCUCUCAAAGAGACUUUCUGAAGGACUGAACACACUUGGUCUCCUGGACCUGAUGAAAAUUCACGCCAGCAUCUUGAAGGAGGUGUUUUCUUCAUCUGAGAGGCCUCUAAAGGCCACAGACUUGAUCUCCCUGUUCCAAGUGACACUGUCCCCUCCUGGAAGCAACCGGUGGCGCCUGGAGAAGAGAGUGGAAGGGUACUGGAGAGACUUUCUUCUAGAUGUGGAGGAUGGUGUGUUUGAGGUCACAAUGGAGCAAAUUUUGGUGUUUGCCUCUGGAGCCGACAGAGUACCCGCUCUUGGUUUUUCUCCUCACCCAACGCUGAACUUCAUUCACGACGCAGGGCGGAAGUACCCUGAAGCUAACACCUGUCUUGUAAAUUUGAAACUUCCUAUCCAUGACACUUACAGACAGUUCGCCAAGUUUAUGUGCGAUGGCAUUAUUCACGCUCCCACUUCUGGUCUGGCUUAAAGUCACUGACAGCUAUUUUCAUAAUGGCUGAACUUUGAAUGUCCUGCCUGCUAACGUUGUUCUCAGGUGAUGAUGUUAAGAUGAUUUGAGACUAGAGACCCUUGAGAGGAGCAUCAGAUGGGCAAGAGGGAGGAUUCUCCAGUUGGACGAUGCAGAUGAACUUCUUCCAUUAGUGACUCAAGAAGCAUUAGAGACCUCCGGGUAUCAAGCCCCAUUGGUCCGGACAGGUGAUUUUGGACGAUCCAGCUACCUAAUCACUGAAGAACACCUGAGAUUCCUGCUUUCAUGUGGAUUUGGAACUAUGCAAAUUGCUGAAAUCCUGGAUGUAUCAGUCAGUACAGUUAAACGAAGAUUGAGGCGCUUCAACUUGCCCUACCUGAUGAGGUCUGCACGUCUUUCUAAUGCAGAACUUGAUGAAGUCAAGUCAAGCUGCAGUCGGUUGGAGAAAAUGAAGAGAUGGGAGCAAAUGCUGUUUUGGCCAGACUGGCUGCUAUGGCUGUUUGAGUGCAGAGGAGAAGAGUGAGAGAGAGUUUGAUUGGAGUGAAUCCAGAGCGUUGUCUCACCGACUGCACCGGAGAACCUACAGUGCUGCAGGACCCAACUCGCUGUGGCACAUAGAUGGGAACCACAAACUCAUCAGGAUUAUACAACAGUUUCUUGCCAGUCUCUUUGCCAACUCUGGAUUCCCUAGCUUACCUCCCCUCUCAAGGACGGUAUCCUGCACUCUAAUCCAGGGGAUAAUGAAUCCCUGAGGAAUGAGAGGGUUAGAUGCCGUGAUAAAACUUUAUGUCCCUGCCACCUUUUCAUUUCUUUGCAGCUCACAGAUGUGUUUUUGUCAGUGUAGUUACUGGGUCAGUUGCAGAACACAGGCCCUCCUCCAGCUGAUAGAGAAGAUCUCUCCUCUCCCAUCUGUCAGUAUGAAAUGUGAAUGGCUGCAAGACAAAAUGGAUAAACUGACAGCACGUGUGUCUGAUUGCAGGUUUAGAGACAAAAACUGCUGUGUGCAGUGUCCAGUGCACAGAGAGAACUUCGCAGUGGGAGAGCCAUUCAGACAGCUGCCCUGUAACCACUUCUUUCAUUCAGAAUGGAUAGUACCAUGGCUGGAACUGAGGAGGUGUGCAGUGGCUUUGGACCAGCAACGGACCCCUCGGCAACCGGUCCGGACCACAAGGACCGCGUGGACCACUAGUUCAUAUUUCUACAGACGAGACAGGAGGAUGCUGGGAGAAAAGAGAGGCGGGAAGCUGAACUACCUGGUGAGGUCUGAAAAUGAAUCUGUGUCUGAUAGAUGAUUCCAGCCGUCGUCGUACUUGAAACAAGUUAGCAUAGCAUCGCCCUGACUGAGCAGAACUCCAUUUAGAAAACAAGCGUUUUAAAAGAUGUUUGCUUGUCAUCUUGAAGACAGACCUGACAGAGCAGGAAUUCAUAUGUUCAACAAAUCAGCAUCAUUUUGAUCAGUUUAUUGAAAUGAAAUCACAGCAAAAUGUUUAUUUUGGCUUCAAACCGCUGCAGGAAACCAGAUUAUUGAAUUAGAUCUGAGUGCAUAAACAGCACUUUAAUAACAUAACAUCUUUGAGUCCAACAGAUUACUGUAAGCUUCUGAUUUCCUCUGGUAACAGUUCAUGACCUGUGUACUGGAACAUAAUGACUGCUAGUAUAUUGUGCUGGAGUCUACUGGUCCCUGGGUUGGUUUUACUAUGUUGUCUGUUUUGUGUUGACUUGUACUGACUACAGAUGAAAAACAGCCUUCUGGCUAAAUCUGGCAUAUUUACUGAAAUGUUUCAGCUUCAAUGAAAAAUCCAGCUUUAUCUUUGAGGAAUGAACAGAGAGACGAGAAAAACCAGAACCUGGAGGAAAGAGACUAAAGAAGUGGAGUUUCUGCUGAGUUCUGAGAUCAACGUCUGAAGGACUCGGUACGCUUCAAACAAACUAGAUCACGUGACGUCUGUUUAUACCUGCUCCAAAUGUCAACGCUGGAAGACAAAGAUCACAGAGUCCAGAUGUUUCAGAGGCCUGAACCAGGUCCACUGGAGGCCUCUGGGUUUAACUGCUGUGCUUUGAUCCAGUGUGUAGUGAGGAGGAAGAGGCGCUGAAUAAACAGGGACUACAAAAACACUACAGACCACAUUUGUGUUCAGGCUGAACAAACCUUUGUUCUUGUGAAAGUCUGACUGAAUCAAAUCUUAUUGUGUCUUCAUUCUCUGAGUCCAUUUUAACAGCUGGCUGCUUUCUGUUCUGUCACUAAAUGUGUUGCUUUCUGUUUAACUUGCAUCCUGCCAGGGUUGGUGCUGGAAUAAUCUGAGCUGGACACUUGAGACUUGGACUCGAGUCCUUUUCAAUGUUCUCAUUAAAGGAGUCGACACAAAGA